AGCCAUUAGCUCAGUUGGUAGAGCAUCUGACUUUUAAUCAGAGGGUCGAAGAGUAGGACGUUGCCA
rnacentral:tRNA from 1 species